rnacentral:lncRNA from 1 species
GGGAGGUCUUACAGCAGAGGGGCCAUCUUUAUUGCUUUAGGUUUAUUGCCAGGAAGACGACUGAAGUCAUCUGCUGCUACAUACAAAGUCCAGUUCAAGCCCAAGUUUUCCCCCAGACCUUUUACAACCCCGUCUUUGCCAGUGGCCAAACGCACUAAAUCCUCCAGAGCACUUUGUUUUCUAAGGGCCACCUUGCCAUUUCUGCGACACAGCCAGUACAUUUCUUUCUGCCUUUGUCAACAUUUGUCUUCCCCAACUUUAUCCCCUCUCUGUAAACACAAAGUGUGACUCUAGUUCUAGAUUUAAGUCUUCCACCUCCAGGCAGGAGGCAGGAGUCUGCAUUCCAAAGAUUAUAAUUACUUUCUGCCAGGGCCAGCCUGGCUUCUAUUAAACAAAUACUACAAAGCCCCGUUCCCAGUGUAGGUUCUUGCCCCCUUGAUGACAUUUCAAGGCCCAUUUUUGAGAUAGUCUCAAUGUUUCUUUUAGCUGCUCUAUGUUUUCUGGGUUUCAGCAAUAGGGGGAAGAAAUGAGCGGAGCGGUGCAAGACCAAAUGGCAGAGAGGAGAAGGCUCAUGCCCUAGAUUAGCGAGAAGGCCUAGCCCUAGGAACAGUAGGGGCGUAGAGGCUGGGUGGGAGAUCUACUUUCUCUCUCGGUGCCCCAUGGUGAAAGGAUAUGGCUUUGUUCAUGCGAAUCGCUACUCGAAGCCGGGACUCGUUGGAGGGCGGAGCUACCCUGAUUCUGCCGCGGCGCUGCGUGGGAGCAGGGUUUGGUUGGUGGGGGUCCGGAGCUGAUUGCAGGAUGCAGGAAAGUGGCUUUCCAGAGGGUACAAUCACUCCGCAUUGGGUCCCCGCGCCCCCAACGGACUACUUCUUGGAAUGCGAUUUGUUCCCCAAGAGCGCAUCUAUUUCCACCACCGUUUGCGGCGUCAGCUGACUCAGCACCUUGAGAAUCGGCAGUAGAGAGGGCAGGUUUUGCUGGGUCACCGAGUUAAGGGCAUGAUGAAGGCCACAGUGGGACCCACUGAGAAAGUCUCAGCUGUUUGACAGCUUGGCACUGUCUCCCUGGACUUCCCUUUACAAAUGACAACUCUGUAAGAAGGAAAAGGCUACGUCAAGGAGCGGGGCUUACCUGAAGCUAUGGAGAACUGGGAUGGCACGAGUCCUUACCGGCAGGUGUGGAGCAGCAAACCCCCCACUCCUAUCCCAUAGACCACAGAUCCUUCGUAAGGCUUCGCCCCAAGUACUCACUGUCCACCCCAAAAAAUCUUGGUGGUGAUAACAUAGCUUGAUCUCCUGGAAAAAGCAAAACAAUAUUUCCAGCAGGAAAAUGAUAUUUGGUUGAUCAUGUCUCCAGCAGCCACCACCCCCUGAACAGUCUCACCUCCAGCCUUUGCUCUUGAGAAUAUUGCCAAGGGUUCUUUCAGCCCUGAAAUAAAGACAAUGCAAGGACACGCA